ACGCAGUCUGAAGUUGCGAUGUUAAGACCAUGCCUAAGUGGCCAGGCUUGGUCCUUCCCCAGGUCUGGUUUGAUAAAUGCUGGUGAUAAAC
ensembl:snoRNA SNORA72 Small nucleolar RNA SNORA72